CCUACGGGUGGCAGCAGUGAGGAAUAUUGGUCAAUGGGCGGGAGCCUGAACCAGCCAAGCCGCGUGAGGGAAGAAGGUACAGCGUAUCGUAAACCUCUUUUGUCAGGGAACAAAGGCGGGGACUAGUCCCCGGAUGAGGGUACCUGAAGAAAAAGCAUCGGCUAACUCCGUGCCAGCAGCCGCGGUAAUACGGAGGAUGCGAGCGUUAUCCGGAUUUAUUGGGUUUAAAGGGUGCGCAGGCGGCCUGUUAAGUCAGCGGUAAAAGCCCGGGGCUCAACCCCGGCGAGCCGUUGAAACUGGCGGCCUUGAGUGCACACAGGGAUGCCGGAAUUCAUGGUGUAGCGGUGAAAUGCUUAGAUAUCAUGAAGAACUCCGAUCGCGAAGGCAAGUGUCCGGGGUGCAACUGACGCUGAGGCUCGAAAGUGCGGGUAUCAAACAGGAUUAGAUACCCUUGUAGUC
rnacentral:rRNA from 1 species